rnacentral:rRNA from 1 species
CCUACGGGAGGCAGCAGUAAGGAAUAUUGGACAAUGGGCGCAAGCCUGAUCCAGCCAUGCCGCGUGAAGGAUUAAGGUCCUCUGGAUUGUAAACUUCUUUUAUAGGGGACGAAAAAAGGGCAUUCUUGUUCACUUGACGGUACCCUAUGAAUAAGCACCGGCUAACUCCGUGCCAGCAGCCGCGGUAAUACGGAGGGUGCAAGCGUUAUCCGGAUUCACUGGGUUUAAAGGGUGCGUAGGCGGGCAGGUAAGUCAGUGGUGAAAUCCUAGAGCUUAACUCUAGAACUGCCAUUGAUACUAUCUGUCUUGAAUAUUGUGGAGGUAAGCGGAAUAUGUCAUGUAGCGGUGAAAUGCUUAGAUAUGACAUAGAACACCUAUUGCGAAGGCAGCUUACUACGCAUAUAUUGACGCUGAGGCACGAAAGCGUGGGGAUCAAACAGGAUUAGAUACCCUGGUAGUCCACGCCCUAAACGAUGGAUACUCGACAUACGCGAUACACUGUGUGUGUCUGAGCGAAAGCAUUAAGUAUCCCACCUGGGAAGUACGUCCGCAAGGAUGAAACUCAAAUGAAUUGACGGCUUGAGACGNGCGAGGACGACACGAGGGGAGGAGG